CGUGGGGAAUCUGCCGAGAAGUGGGGAGAUAGCUCGCCGAAGCGAAUUAAUACCGCAUGUGGCUAGUGAAGACAUCUUCACAAUGCCAAAGCCGGGGCACUGGCGCUUCUUGAUGACCCCGCGGCCUAUCAGCUAGUUGGUGAGGUAACGGCUCACCGGCUAUGACGGGUAGCUGGUCUGAGAGGACGACCAGCCACACUGGAACUGAGACACGGCAGACACCUACGGGUGGCAGCAGUCGAGAAUUUUUCUCAAUGGGGGAAACCCUGAAGGCGACGCCGCGUGGAGGAUGAAGGUCUUCGGAUUGUAAACUCCUGUCAUUAGGGAACAAUGCAGUCGUUAACUGCGAUUGCAUUGAUAGUACCUGAAGAGGAAGAGACGGCUAACUCUGCCAGCAGCCGCGGUAAUACAGAGGUCUCAAGCGUUGUUCGGAUUCAUUGGGCGUAAGGUGCGUAGGUGGCGCCGUAAGUCAGGUGUGAAAUCUCGGGGCUCAACCCCGAAACUGCUUGAUACUGCGGUGCUCGAGUACUGGAGAGGAGAUUGGAAUUUACGGUGUAGCAGUGAUGCGUAGAUAUCGUAAGGAAGACCAGUGGCGAAGGCGAAUCUCUGGACAGUUACUGGCUGAGGCACGAAGGCCAGGGGAGCAAACGGGAUUAGAUACCCCGGUAGUCCUGGCAGUACGGUGCGCGUUUGGUGUGGGAGGAUUCGACCCCUUCUGUGCCGGAGCUAACGCGUAA
rnacentral:rRNA from 1 species